UACGUAGGGGGCAAGCGUUGUCCGGAUUUACUGGGCGUAAAGCGCGCGUAGGCGGCUCGAUCAGUCUGCUGUGAAAGUCAAAGGCUCAACCUUUGAAUGCCGGUGGAUACUGUCGAGCUAGAGUCCGGAAGAGGCGGGUGGAAUUCCUGGUGUAGCGGUGGAAUGCGCAGAUAUCAGGAGGAACACCAACGGCGAAGGCAGCCCGCUGGGACGGUACUGACGCUAAGGCGCGAAAGCGUGGGGAGCAAACGGG
rnacentral:rRNA from 1 species